CAGUCAGCCGCUCUUCAAGUUGACAUGUUUAUGUUUUGGCAACAAACGACGCUCUCUGGUGCAAACUUUGACAGCUGCAAGUGUCAGCACAGUGGUACAAAUCAUAAACAUUUAACUCAAACUUUGAUUUGCUUAUUUGGCAAUUGGAUGGCAAAAUAAGACUUACUAAUGGUUCCUAGCUAAAGCUACACUGAAUUAUCUACACGUCUGCACAAUGAAACGAGGGGACUUGGCAUGGUAAAUUGAUUGUAUAUUAUAGUAUGUAGAAGCAGCUGUGAUAAAUAGUGCGCAUAUUAUACGAAUACGAAGCAAGAAGUAUACGACAAAACAAAUACAAAAA